rnacentral:rRNA from 1 species
AGUUUGAUCCUGGCUCAGAACGAACGCUGGCGGCAGGCCUAAUACAUGCAAGUCGAGCGCAUCCUUCGGGAUGAGCGGCGGACGGGUGAGUAACGCGUGGGAAUAUGCCCUUCUCUAAGGAAUAGCCUCGGGAAACUGAGAGUAAUACCUUAUACGCCCUUCGGGGGAAAGAUUUAUCGGAGAAGGAUUAGCCCGCGUUAGAUUAGGUAGUUGGUGGGGUAAUGGCCUACCAAGCCUACGAUCUAUAGCUGGUUUGAGAGGAUGAUCAGCCACACUGGGACUGAGACACGGCCCAGACUCCUACGGGAGGCAGCAGUAGGGAAUCUUAGACAAUGGGGGAAACCCUGAUCUAGCCAUGCCGCGUGUGUGAUGAAGGCCUUAGGGUCGUAAAGCACUUUCGCCAGAGAUGAUAAUGACAGUAUCUGGUAAAGAAACCCCGGCUAACUCCGUGCCAGCAGCCGCGGUAAUACGGAGGGGGUUAGCGUUGUUCGGAAUUACUGGGCGUAAAGCGCACGUAGGCGGAUUAGUAAGUUAGAGGUGAAAUCCCAGGGCUCAACCCUGGAACUGCCUUUAAUACUGCUAGUCUUGAGUUCGAGAGAGGUAAGUGGAAUUCCRAGUGUAGAGGUGAAAUUCGUAGAUAUUYGGAGGAACACCAGUGGCGAAGGCGGCUUACUGGCUCGAUACUGACGCUGAGGUGCGAAAGUGUGGGGAGCAAACAGGAUUAGAUACCCUGGUAGUCCACACCGUAAACGAUGAAUGCCAGACGUCAGCAAGUAUACUU